GCAGACAAUAGUGAUUUUUCUUUUCAUAUACACCAUGAAUGUGUAAUAAACCCACAAAUGGAGAAGAUACUAUAUCUAAAAGUAAUUUUCAUUGAUGAAUUUUAGAUGACAUUCUCUUGUUUUUGUAUUGGGUAUUGACGAGUGAAAAUUUGAAGACUAUUUAUUUAGGUAAUAGGAUUGAAAGAUUGUUGUUAGUGAAGUUUUUAGAACGAAAAAAAAAACAUGAUUCAGAAUUAUAGAGAAAGCUUAUAAAGAUUUUUUUUUCUUUUGUCUGCUUCAGUGAAGGCUUUAGUAAGGUAUUUCUCGUUUAAAAUUUAGUCAUUUAGUUAUAUCCAACUUAUGCAAUUAGCUUAAAUUUGUUGAACUCUAGUUCUCAACCCAUUUUUUCGUUGUGUUCCUCUUCAGAUUGUGAGUCGCUAUUGUCCAUGGUUGUCUCCGCCAGAUUUGUGAGAUAUUCAAUGACUUUGGUUUCGGUUCUCUUAGCCUUGGUGAAGUACAUGAGAACUUGGAGAGGUUUAAAGAAUCUGAUUAUUUUCAUGGGCUAUGUUUGUUGUUGUAAGACUUUCAGGUUCAACACUCCACUAGUUUGUUAAAUUUACUCAACCAAUCUUAUGUAUCAUUUGUAUGGAAGCAAAUCUAUAGGAAAUUUAAGCUUGAUAAAAGUAACACCUGCUUACUGCUAUUAUAUGUUGCAAUUUUCAUGAGGUUGGUUUUUAAGUUUCGGGUAUUGCUUCAUGCUAAUAUUAUUUUGUUGCAUAUCA